rnacentral:ncRNA from 1 species
GAAAAUGUGAAGAGAAGGAAAGUACUUUUCAGAAUAACUCCAAGAGAGUCUCGCGUGGUGGGAAGAGACAGUGACGCUGAAGAAGAAAAUGGCCUUUGAACAGAUUGGUUGACUAGUUUAAACCAGUACAGGAGCGCCUGUUAUAGCGCCACAGUAUGUUUGUACUGGUAGAGUGGACUUUAUAUAGUCAAUUAAAGGUGGUACCGCGAUAGCUCAAGCUCUCGUCCUUUUU